UUGGUCACAGGUGGCUUAGAAGUGUGUGU
rnacentral:piRNA from 1 species